rnacentral:rRNA from 1 species
AGUGAAUGCUGGCGGUAGGCCUAACACAUGCAAGUCGAACGGCAGCACAGUAAGAGCUUGCUCUUACGGGUGGCGAGUGGCGGACGGGUGAGGAAUACAUCGGAAUCUACUUUUUCGUGGGGGAUAACGUAGGGAAACUUACGCUAAUACCGCAUACGACCUACGGGUGGAAGCAGGGGAUCUUCGGACCUUGCGCGAUUGAAUGAGCCGAUGUCGGAUUAGCUAGUUGGCGGGGUAAAGGCCCACCAAGGCGACGAUCCGUAGCUGGUCUGAGAGGAUGAUCAGCCACACUGGAACUGAGACACGGUCCAGACUCCUACGGGAGGCAGCAGUGGGGAAUAUUGGACAAUGGGCGCAAGCCUGAUCCAGCCAUACCGCGUGGGUGAAGAAGGCCUUCGGGUUGUAAAGCCCUUUUGUUGGGAAAGAAAAGCAGCAGGUUAAUACCCCGCUGUUCUGGCGGUACCCAAAGAAUAAGCACCGGCUAACUUCGUG